AGCCCAGCGCUAAAUCUUUUCGCUCUAACGGGUGAAGAGAGGUGUAGCGUAUAGAAGGCGAUUCUCCUUGAUGGCUGUCGACUUAAGUUCUCCUUGACUGGGGUUCCAUAGAAGGUGAAAGGCCUGUUCAGUCGAUGGCCGUCUUGGAUUCCGCUCUUCUUGGAGUCGGGUUGUUUGGGAACGCAGCCCAAAUUGGGUGGUAAACUUCAUCUAAGGCUAAAUACGGCCACGAAACCGAUAGCAAACAAGUACCGUGAGGGAAAGUUGAAAAGCACUUUGAAGAGAGAGUUCAAGAGGACGUGAAACCGGUAGGAUGGAAACGGAUAGAGCCAAUGAACAAGCUCGUAUUCAGCUAGUCGGCUGCGUGCGGCUCUGCGAGCGUCUCCCGAUUGGGGACGUGGUAGGGUGCGGCGUGCGGUUGGCUAGUGCAUUUGCGAGCGAUGUGCGCUGAGGCGUGUGGUAGUGCCCUGCGAACUUUCCAUAGAGGCCAUCGCUUCGGCGUUGAAACCUGUGGGUGGGUAGCAGAUGGUCAUAGCUGCACGUAGAUAGURCGACUAGGUGCUUUCGCAUUGUCGUGCUGCAGAGUUCAGCCUACUGGUCGGACGCAUGCGUCAUGGCCUUUGGRUUGGGCCCUGUAGUGUGGCGGUGCCCUAGUCGAACCUCGGUGUAAAAGUUGGUCAUCUCUCCGACCCGUCUUGAAACACGGACCAAGGAGUCUAGCGUAUGCGCGAGUCAUUGGGUGGUAAACCCAUAGGCGUAAUGAAAGUGAAGGCUCAGCAAUGGGCUGAUAUGCGAUCCGUUGCGCUACGGCGUACGCGGAGCAGCAUAGCCCCGUCUUAACGGCUUGCCGUAGGGCGGAGGUAGAGCGUAUUCGCUGGUACCCGAAAGAUGGUGAACUAUGCCUGAGCAGGAUGAAGCCAGAGGAAACUCUGGUGGAGGUCCGAAGCGCUUCUGACGUGCAAAUCGAUCGUCUGA
rnacentral:rRNA from 1 species